GACAGAGCUUUUAAGAGAGGCACAGACGACCUGAGGCACGAUACAAAGAAGCGUGGCUCUUUCCGCCCUGACUACCGGUAUGGUGAAGCAGCUGGUGUUGUGAAUCAGGCCGUCGCCAAUCUGAGAACGGCUACUUC